CGCUGUACAGCUACCCUAGCGUUAACCCUUUAAGUUAAAGAAUGAGGGGCACACCCUCUGCAGUGA
rnacentral:tRNA from 1 species